rnacentral:rRNA from 1 species
AUGUGCAGCCACACCCCCCUGAGAACGCCCCAUCUCAUGUGAUCUGGGAAGCUAAGCAGGGUCGGCCCCGGUCAGUGCUUGGAUGGGAGACCAGCCGCAUUGAUGCUGGAGGGAGUGGAGCAUC